rnacentral:rRNA from 1 species
GACGAACGCUGGCGGCGUGCUUAACACAUGCAAGUCGAACGAUGAAGCCUAGCUUGCUAGGUGGAUUAGUGGCGAACGGGUGAGUAAUACGUGAGUAACCUACCUUUAACUCUGGGAUAAGCCCGGGAAACUGGGUCUAAUACCGGAUACGACCAAUCUCCGCAUGGGGUGUUGAUGGAAAGCGUUAUGUAGUGGUUAUAGAUGGGCUCACGGCCUAUCAGCUUGUUGGUGAGGUAACGGCUCACCAAGGCGACGACGGGUAGCCGGCCUGAGAGGGUGACCGGCCACACUGGGACUGAGACACGGCCCAGACUCCUACGGGAGGCAGCAGUGGGGAAUAUUGCACAAUGGGCGCAAGCCUGAUGCAGCGACGCCGCGUGAGGGAUGACGGCCUUCGGGUUGUAAACCUCUGUUAGCAGGGAAGAAGAGAGAUUGACGGUACCUGCAGAGAAAGCGCCGGCUAACUACGUGCCAGCAGCCGCGGUAAUACGUAGGGCGCGAGCGUUGUCCGGAAUUAUUGGGCGUAAAGAGCUUGUAGGCGGUUUGUCGCGUCUGCUGUGAAAGGCCGGGGGCUUAACUCCGUGUAUUGCAGUGGGUACGGGCAGACUAGAGUGCAGUAGGGGAGACUGGAAUUCCUGGUGUAGCGGUGGAAUGCGCAGAUAUCAGGAGGAACACCGAUGGCGAAGGGAGGGCUCUGGGCUGUAACUGACGCUGAGAAGCGAAAGCAUGGGGAGCGAACAGGAUUAGAUACCCUGGUAGUCCAUGGCGUAAACGUUGGGGACUAGGUGUGGGGAACAUUCCACGUUUUCCGCGCCGUAGCUAACGCAUUAAGUGCCCCGCCUGGGGAGUACGGCCGCAAGGCUAAAACUCAAAGAAAUUGACGGGGGCCCGCACAAGCGGCGGAGCAUGCGGAUUAAUUCGAUGCAACGCGAAGAACCUUACCAAGGCUUGACAUAUACUGGACCGCAUCAGAGAUGGUGUUUCCCUUCGGGGCUGGUAUACAGGUGGUGCAUGGUUGUCGUCAGCUCGUGUCGUGAGAUGUUGGGUUAAGUCCCGCAACGAGCGCAACCCUCGUUCUAUGUUGCCAGCACGUAAUGGUGGGGACUCAUAGGAGACUGCCGGGGUCAACUCGGAGGAAGGUGGGGAUGACGUCAAAUCAUCAUGCCCCUUAUGUCUUGGGCUUCACGCAUGCUACAAUGGCCGGUACAGAGGGUUGCGAUACUGUGAGGUGGAGCUAAUCCCUAAAAGCCGGUCUCAGUUCGGAUUGGGGUCUGCAACUCGACCCCAUGAAGUCGGAGUCGCUAGUAAUCGCAGAUCAGCAACGCUGCGGUGAAUACGUUCCCGGGCCU